rnacentral:rRNA from 1 species
GGAGUAUGGGCCGUGUCUCAGUCCCAUUGUGGCCGGUCACCCUCUCAGGUCGGCUACACAUCCUAGCCUUGGUGGGCCGUUACCUCACCAACUAGCUAAUGUGCCGCAGGUCCAUCUAAAAGUGCUGCAAACGCAGCUUUCAAGCGCGGGUCAUGCGACCCACGUUGUUAUCCGGUAUUAGCCAAACUUUCGUCUGGGUAUCCCAGUCUUAAAGGCAGGUUACCUACGUGUUACUCACCCGUUCGCCGCUAGGUAGCAAGCUACCUCGCACGACUUGCAUGUAUUAGGCACGCCGCCAGCGUUCAUC